rnacentral:tRNA from 1 species
GGCUCCGUAGCUUAACUGAAUAGAGCAUCUGACUACGGAUCAGAAGGUUGCAGGUUUGAAUCCUGCCGGAGUCACCA